rnacentral:rRNA from 1 species
AGUGAACGCUGGCGGUAGGCCUAACACAUGCAAGUCGAACGGCAGCACAGUAAGGGCUUGCUCUUACGGGUGGCGAGUGGCGGACGGGUGAGGAAUACAUCGGAAUCUACUUUUUCGUGGGGGAUAACGUAGGGAAACUUACGCUAAUACCGCAUACGACCUACGGGUGAAAGCAGGGGAUCUUCGGACCUUGCGCGAUUGAAUGAGCCGAUGUCGGAUUAGCUAGUUGGCGGGGUAAAGGCCCACCAAGGCGACGAUCCGUAGCUGGUCUGAGAGGCUGAUCAGCCACACUGGAACUGAGACACGGACCAGACUCCUACGGGAGGCAGCAGUGGGGAAUAUUGGACAAUGGGCGCAAGCCUGAUCCAGCCAUACCGCGUGGGUGAAGAAGGCCUUCGGGUUGUAAAGCCCUUUUGUUGGGAAAGAAAAGCAGCAGGUUAAUACCCCGCUGUUCUGACGGUACCAAAAGAAUAAGCACCGGCUAACUUCGUG